GCCUGGGUCAGAGCUCUGGAGAAAAGCUGCUCAGUUAGGACCCAGAGAGAACCAUGGAAAUCCCAGCUCAGCUUCUCUUCCUCCUGCUACUCUGGCUCCCAGAUACCACCGGAGAAAUUGUGUUGACGCAGUCUCCAGCCAUCCUGUCUUUGUCUCCAGGGGAAAGAGCUACCUUCUCCUGCAGGGCCAGUCAGAGUAUUGGCAGCAACUUAGCCUGGUACCAGCAGAAACCUGGGCAGGCUCCCAGGCUCCUCAUCUAUGGUGCAUCCAGCAGGGCCACUGGCAUCCCAGACAGGUUCAGUGGCAGCGGGUCUGGGACAGAGUUCACUCUCACCAUCAGCAGCCUCGAGCCUGAAGAUUUUGCAGUGUAUUACUGUCAGAAGUAUAGUAGCUCGCCUCCCACAGUGAUUCAACUUGAAGCAAAAACCUCUGCAAGACCUUCAUUGUUUACUAGAUUAUACCAGCUGCUUCCUUUACAGAUAGCUGCUGCAAUGACAACUCAAUUUCAGCAUCUCUUCUCUGCCUGGGCAUUUUGA